GUCCAAUGUGCUCUCCCUCCAUCAGCCUCAUCAAUCCCUCCACAAGAUCAGAAACAUAUUGGAAACUCCUGGUUUGCUUCCCAUCACCAUAGACAGUAAGAGGCUCCUUCCUCAAAGCUUGGGCAACAAAAUUACUAACAACACGCCCAUCAUCAAUGCACAUUCUUGGGCCAUACGUGUUGAAAAUUCUAGCAAUCCUAACCUCAACUCCAGCUCCUCUAUGAUAGUCCAUGGUCAACGUCUCGGCCGUACGUUUUCCCUCGUCGUAACAGCUUCGAACACCGAUGGGAUUAACGUUACCCCAGUAGGUUUCAACUUGUGGGUGUUGAAGAGGAUCUCCAUAAACUUCGCUUGUACUAGUCAGUAGAAACCUGGCUCCAACUCUCUUCGCUAAUCCCAACAUAUUCAAAGUUCCCACCACAUUGGUCUUGAUUGUCUUGACAGGGUUGAAUUUGUAAUGAACAGGGGAAGCAGGGCAAGCCAAAUGGUAGAUCUGGUCUACUUCAAGAAGAAGCGGUUCAACCACAUCGUGUCGAAUCAAUUCAAAUCUCGGAUUCCCAAAAUGAUGCAUCACGUUUUCUUUUCUUCCGGUGAAGAAAUUAUCCACAACGAUCACGCUGUCGCCUCUCUCAAUCAGCCGGUCCACCAGAUGCGACCCGACGAACCCGGCCCCGCCAGUCACCACG
rnacentral:misc_RNA from 1 species